rnacentral:misc_RNA from 1 species
GAUGAAGAACGUAGCGAAAUGCGAUAAGUAAUGUGAAUUGCAGAAUUCAGUGAAUCAUCGAAUUUUUGAACGCACAUUGCGCCCUCUGGUAUUCCGGGGGGCAUGCCUGUUCGAGCGUCAUUACAACCCUCAAGCUUUGCUUGGUAUUGGACAUUGCCAGUUUCUGGCAGGUCUUAAAAUCAGUGGCGGUGCCAUUUGGCUUCAAGCGUAGUAAUUCUUCUCGCUUUGGAGAUCCAGGUGGUUACUUGCCAAUAACCCCCAAUUUUUUCAGGUUGACCUCGGAUCAGGUAGGGAUACCCGCUGAACUUAAGCAUAUCAAUAAGCGGAGGA